GCAUUGUUGGGGUAGUGGUAACCUGGGUCGUUGCCACUGACCGGUGCCAGUUCGACCCGCCCCGGGUUCGAUUCCCGGACAAUGCA